rnacentral:lncRNA from 1 species
AGUGGAAAAAUGACUGAAACUUUCGGACUUUUAUAUCUUUCUGAGAACCGGGCACGGACCGCACAAAAAUUUGCUGCGGCCGCGCCGAGCGGGAUGAAAAUCUAGGGCUUCUCUAAACCCUCCCAGCAUGGACCGCAAUGUUUUGGUGCGCGGCCGCGCUGGUUAACCUGAAUCUCUAGCCUGACUCAGCCACGCGGACCGUACAGAAGUGCCUCGCGGCCGCCUGUCUCCAGCACGGACUGUGCGGAAAUGACCGCGGCCGCAUUGGUGUCUGCAAUAGCUGAACCUGCUUUUCUCUAGGCUUAAUACCUCCUGGGCCUCACCCAAAACUCACCCGAGCCCUCGGGGCUCCAAACC